CCUCUUCGAUCUGCUGCGGGCAGAUGAAGUGGAUGUGGGUGUCGAUGGCGCCGGGCGUGACGAUGAAGCCCUCGCCCGCGAUGAUCUCGGUGCCGGGGCCGAUGACGAUGUCCACGCCGGGCUGCACGUCGGGGUUGCCGGCCUUGCCGAUGGCCGCGAUGCGGCAGCCGCGCAGGCCGAUGUCGGCCUUGACGAUGCCCCAGUGGUCGACGAUGACGACGUUGGUGAUGACGGUGUCGACGGCGUCACCCGGGCCCGGGCCGUUGGUGCGCUGGGACUGGCCCAUGCCGUCACG
rnacentral:sRNA from 1 species